rnacentral:rRNA from 1 species
UACGUAGGUGGCAAGCGUUGUCCGGAAUUAUUGGGCGUGAAGCGCGCGCAGGCGGUCCUUUAAGUCUGAUGUGAAAGCCCACGGCCCAACCGUGGAGGGUCAUUGGAAACUGGGGGACUUGAGUGCAGGAGAGAAGAGUGGAAUUCCACGUGUAGCGGUGAAAUGCGUAGAGAUGUGGAGGAACACCAGUGGCGAAGGCGACUCUUUGGCCUGUAACUGACGCUGAGGCGCGAAAGCGUGGGGAGCAAACAGG